rnacentral:tRNA from 1 species
CGGGCUGUGGCGCAGUGGCUAGCGCGUCUGCUUUGGGAGCAGAAGGCCGUGGGUUCAAGUCCCACCAGCCCGA